rnacentral:rRNA from 1 species
CCCUUAGAUGUUCUGGGCCGCACGCGCGCUACACUGACGAAUGCAACGAGCUUAUAACCUUGGCCGAAAGGUCUGGGUAAUCUCCAAAUUUCGUCGUGAUGGGGAUAGAUUAUUGCAAUUAUUAAUCUUCAACGAGGAAUGCCUAGUAAGCGCAAGUCAUCAGCUUGCGUUGAUUACGUCCCUGCCCUUUGUACACACCGCCCGUCGCUCCUACCGAUUGAAUGGUCCGGUGAAGCGUUCGGAGCGUGGCCUUUGGACGGUUCGCCGUCUGUUGGCUGCGGGAAGUUCGUUAAACCUUAUCAUUUAGAGGAAGGAGAAGUCGUAACA